GGCUCGUUGGUCUAGGGGUAUGAUUCUCGCUUUGGUUGCGAGAGGUCUCGGGUUCAAAUCCCGGACGAGCCC
rnacentral:tRNA from 1 species